GCCCGCCUAGCUCAAUCGGAUAGAGCGUCAGACUUUUACGGAAGGUCAUCUGAAGGCUGCGAGUUCGACCCUCGCGGUGGGCU